rnacentral:tRNA from 1 species
GCGGGCGUAAUUCAGUGGUAGAAUGCGAGCUUCCCAAGCUUGUAACGUGGGUUCGAUUCCCAUCGCCCGCUCCA